AGUCGAGCGGAACGACACUAACAAUCCUUCGGGUGCGUUAAUGGGCGUCGAGCGGCGGACGGGUGAGUAAUGCCUAGGAAAUUGCCUUGAUGUGGGGGAUAACCAUUGGAAACGAUGGCUAAUACCGCAUAAUGCCUACGGGCCAAAGAGGGGGACCUUCGGGCCUCUCGCGUCAAGAUAUGCCUAGGUGGGAUUAGCUAGUUGGUGAGGUAAUGGCUCACCAAGGCGACGAUCCCUAGCUGGUCUGAGAGGAUGAUCAGCCACACUGGAACUGAGACACGGUCCAGACUCCUACGGGAGGCAGCAGUGGGGAAUAUUGCACAAUGGGCGAAAGCCUGAUGCAGCCAUGCCGCGUGUAUGAAGAAGGCCUUCGGGUUGUAAAGUACUUUCAGUUGUGAGGAAGGGGGUAGCGUUAAUAGCGCUAUCUCUUGACGUUAGCAACAGAAGAAGCACCGGCUAACUCCGUGCCAGCAGCCGCGGUAAUACGGAGGGUGCGAGCGUUAAUCGGAAUUACUGGGCGUAAAGCGCAUGCAGGUGGUUCAUUAAGUCAGAUGUGAAAGCCCGGGGCUCAACCUCGGAACUGCAUUUGAAACUGGUGAACUAGAGUACUGUA
rnacentral:rRNA from 3 species